CCUACGGGAGGCAGCAGUGAGGAAUAUUGGUCAAUGGCCGGAAGGCUGAACCAGCCAAGCCGCGUGAAGGACGAAGGUGCCAAGCAUUGUAAACUUCUUUUGUCAAGGGACAAAAUCAGGCUCGAGAGCCUGACCGAGGGUACUUGAAGAAAAAGCAUCGGCUAACUCCGGGCCAGCAGCCGCGGUAAUACGGAGGAUGCGAGCGUUAUCCGGAUUUAUUGGGUUUAAAGGGUGCGUAGGCGGACUGUUAAGUCAGCGGUAAAAGCCCGGGGCUCAACCCCGGCGAGCCGUUGAAACUGGCGGUCUUGAGAUGUCGAGAGGUAUGCGGAAUGCGCAGUGUAGCGGUGAAAGGCUUAGAUAUUGCGCAGAACUCCGAUUGCGAAGGCAGCAUACCGGCGGCGAUCUGACGCUGAGGCACGAAAGCGUGGGUAUCGAACAGGAUUAGAUACCCGUGUAGUC
rnacentral:rRNA from 1 species